GGAGAAAAUGUAAGCAGGAAGUGAAGCAGCUGGAUCUCUGCACGCAACAAGACGCUCACCACAACGCCAAGGAGAAGGCCACAAAUUGGUUGUGCUUGCACAUUUAAUGCUGCCGAGAAGCUACACAUAUUUGGCAUUCGCGGCCGAGCCGCUCACCAUCAUGGAGUUGGAUCACACUAGGUGCUUUGAUCUGAAGGAUUGGUUUGUGAUACGUCAUUGAUUCAUCGUUGACACAAAUAUGAAAGCACACUAGAAAGAUAAACAUAGGAGAUCAUAGCUGAAGGGUGGGUUUCCAACGACGGUGGUGUGCUGCCUUUCUUCCAGUGCCGACAAGAUGGCUAGUUUGUCGCCCCGUAACCCUGGUGGUGGGCUCCCA